rnacentral:lncRNA from 1 species
UGGCAGCAGCUGCGGAAUCCAGACCAUGGGAGGAGUUUGGAGAGGCUAUGGAAAAUGACUAUUGGUCAGCCUCAAAGAGGUUCUGGAGAACCAUCCGGUGGCUCAGGAGGGGGUCAGAGGAGCCUCGCUCAAGCUGUGCUCAGCAAGAGUGGAGAAACUCUGACCUCUAAUGAAGAUAUUGUCAGGAGGUUGAAGGAGCACUUUGAGGAACUCUUAAACCCGAAAGAUACGCCUCCUUUACAGGAGUCAGGGCCACAGGCUUCUGGGGUAUCAGAGUCCAUUUCCCUGGUGUAAGUCACUGAGGCAGUUGGAAAGCUCCACAGUGGCAAAGCAUCGAAAUGGAUGAGAUUCGCCCGGAACUGCUUAAGGCCCUGGAUGUUGUAGGGCUGGCAUGGCUGACACACCUCUGCAAUGUUGCAUGGACCUUGGGAACAGUGCCUUUGGAUUGGCAAACUAGGGUGGUGGUCCCUAUCACACUUCUCAGCCUCCCUGGGAAAGUCUCUGCUGGGGUGCUGGAGAGGAGGCUCUGGAUUGAAGAGGAACAAUGCGGUUUCCGCCCUGGCCGUGGAACAGUGGACCAGCUUUUUACCCUUUCACAGAUAAUUGAAGGGGCAUGGGAGUUCGCUAAUCCGGUCUACAUGUGUUUUGUGGACUUGAAGAAGGCCUAUGACCGUGUUCCUCGAGAAAUUCUGUGGGAGGUGCUUCGGGAGUAUGGGAUGCCGGGGCCACUACUGCGGGCCAUUGGAUCUCUGUACAGACGGAGCGAGAGCUGUGUCCGCACACUCGGCAUUAAGUCAAGCCCGUUCACUGUGGGUGCUGGACUCUACCAAGGUUGUGCCUUGUCUCCACUCCUGUUUGUGGUUUUCAUGUACAGGAUAUCAAGGCGCAGUCGAGGUCAGGAGGGCAUUCUAUGUAGGAGUCAGAAGGUGAUGUCUCUACUUUUUGCAAAUGAUGUUGUCCUUUUGGCACCGUCACAUGGUUGCCUCCAACAUGCACUGGAACGGUUUGCAGCCGAGUGUGAAGCGGCGGGGAUGAGUAUCAGCACCUCAAAGUCUGAGUCCAUGGUACUGUCACAGAAAAGGAUGGUAUGCCCCCUCCAGGUAAGCGGAGAGUUUUUG